rnacentral:rRNA from 1 species
UAAGCGGAGGAAAAGAAACUAACAAGGAUUCCCCUAGUAACUGCGAGUGAAGCGGGAAAAGCUCAAAUUUAAAAUCUGGUGGCCUUUGGCCAUCCGAGUUGUAAUUUAGAGAAGCGUCUUCCGCGCUGGACCGUGCACAAGUCUCCUGGGAUGGAGCGUCAUAGAGGGUGAGAAUCCCGUCUUUGGCACGGACGCACCAGGGCUUUUGUGAUGCGCUCUCGAAGAGUCGAGUUGUUUGGGAAUGCAGCUCAAAAUGGGUGGUGAACUCCAUCUAAAGCUAAAUAUUGGCGAGAGACCGAUAGCGAACAAGUACCGUGAGGGAAAGAUGAAAAGCACUUUGGAAAGAGAGUGAAACAGUACGUGAAAUUGUUGAAAGGGAAACGAUUGAAGUCAGUCGCGUCGUCCGAGACUCAGCCUCGCCUCGGCUUGGUGUACUUCUCGGCCGACGGGUCAGCAUCAAUUUUGCCCCUUGGAUAAUGGCGAGGGAAAUGUGACACCUUUACAGGUGUGUUAUAGUCUCUCGUCGCAUGCAAGGGUCGGGAUUGAGGAACUCAGCACGCGCCUUUGGGCGUCGGGGCAUCUGCCCACGAUACGUGCUUAGGAUGUUGGCGUAAUGGCUUUAAACGACC